CCCGUUGCUAUGAAGGAGUUGGAGGGUGACUGGGACUGUGCUGAUGAGAUUGAAGGAAUGAGGAGGCAAGGAACGAGAUGACUCCACUAACUAUGACAAUGUGCCAUUUACUGGAGAAAGUCCUGGGGUCUCCAAGGGAAGAUGGAGGGCCCAAAUCAGGACUUGCAGUGACAGCACAAGGUAAAUGGACAAUUAUUUAAAUCGUGCUGAGAGUGCCAUCAGCUCCCACAGACUAACACGGCUACCACUCUGAAUGCCUGAAGAAACAUUGAACUGGGGGGAGGGGUCCCAACCAGUAAGGACUGCAAAGAGCAUUUGACAGACUGCGGGUGAGCUCAGCUUACAUGGGUAAGCAGACAAUGUCUUCAACUGUUAUGCACAAGCUUUCUGUGAGCUCAGCUCCUAUUGACAACUACACGUUGACUUGCAGUGAUGCUGAGAGUCCAAUCAGCUCCAUCAGGUAAAUGCACAACGACUGAAAUCACCUUGACAGUGCAAUCAGUGGACAAGACUCUCACUCUUUUAGACAGGCUGCCCGGGAACUCAGCUCCCAUGGCAAAUGGACAGUGGUCUCCGCUGUUAUGGAUAAAUGCUGAAACCAGCCAGUUGCUGGCAAGCCCCCUGCCUCAAGCCAGCAGCCAGUGAUGUUUACAUUGACAAGGAUUUCUCUGCAGUAAAAUGCCAUGAGCCCACAACAGGAGCUGGGCCAGCCUGGCAGGCACAGGACAGAGCAUGUCUUUGUCUCUACGAGCCAUGGGAUGAUCAGCAACCGACUAUGGAGGAAGCCACACUCAGGUAAAAGGAAAAUGAAUAUAUGCUGGCAGUGCAAUCAGCGCCUACAGUAAAAUGCCAUGGACUCACAACAGCGGCUGGCCACCCAGCAGGCACAAGAGGGAGCCAUAAAAGAGGGAGCCAUAAAACGGAUGCCACCUCCUGGGGGAGGGCAGAGAGAUCAAUGGUGUCUUUUGGGGAUUAGGCAAGGCUGUCUAGACAGAGGAAGAGGAGCGAGCAAGGGGCAAUGUCUGCCCUGCACCAAAGUCAACCCCUGGAGAAAAUUCAUGUAGUAGUUGGGACAGUCUCCUCAUUCCAAAAACCUUUAGGGAACUACAGGAGAACUAACGUGCAAACCAAACUGUCACAAUGGUGCUCAGCAACUUUUGAGAACUCCCAACUGAAACUUUGUCUCUGUGGUCACUGCAGCACCAAUUCCCAGCUCCU